CAGGAGCCCUGGCAGCGCUGGAUGGCACCAGGGUGCUGGAGACCAGAAGUCUAAACUCCAGGCGGCCAUCGUGCUGUGCUGCUGCCGGAGGUCUCAGGGCACGAUCCAUUCCCUUGGCUUUUCCAGCUUCUGCAGGUUCCCUGCCCUCUGAGGUCAGCGGGUGCCUAUAACACACGCCCUUGUAUACACCCCCGCUCGGUUCUGCUUCUCUAGAGAAUCCUGACUUAAGCUUGCUGUGCUUCGGUCGCCCACUGACAGCAUGGAGAGAAGUAAACAACCUACACUGUUUGGUUAGGGCGCUGAUUAAAUGGAGUAAAUACACAAAAAGCUGUGGGCAUGCAGCAGAGCAGUCGCGAUCUCUUACUGCCGUUCCCAUCAAACGUCCAGUCAAUCCUCGGGGGCCUGGGUGAUGCGGAGCCUCUGGCAUUGCUAUUCCUGCUGUGUUCUCCUCUUUCCGGCCCACGCUCCACACUUCUCGCACCCUGGUCUCCUGAGGUCCUUGUCGUCGUGGUACUGUUCACUGACACGUCUCACACUCACCUUCACUUCCUGCGCACGUAGUGUAUGUCAGCUGUCGGGCUGGCUAAGACCUGCACAGUUUACUCCGCUCUCCUGCAUCUCAGCGACGUCCAUCUCCAUCGUACCACUUCAGAAGGAACCGAGACGCGACUAGGACCGACUCAGCCCAGUGUGCAAACAGCAGAGCUGAGUUCCAAUGCCAAACCAUCUCAGUCCAACACCUGUGCCUCCCAGCACUGUCUUUCAUAUGAACACGCACACUCCUGAGGCCAACACAGAAGGUGGGCAGCGUCCAGCCCCACCCAUCAAACCACCAAAGAGCUUUAUUAAGGAUCUGGCACGUCCGAGUCACGUCUGGAAAGUUCAGAGAAAAUUGUGAGGAAAAUCCAGUUCAAAUCUUUUUUGGGAAGUUAAAAAGUGCGUAUGUAAAUAAAGCCACGGAAAUGGCAUCAAGGAAGUGACAGAUAUGUGCUAGAGUGCCAGAAACGGUCAGAGAAAAGGAUGUGGGCA